rnacentral:rRNA from 1 species
UACGGGGGGAGCAAGCGUUGUUCGGAUUUACUGGGCGUAAAGGGCGCGUAGGCGGCCACCGCAAGUCGACUGUGAAAUCUCCGGGCUUAACUCGGAAAGGUCAGCCGAUACUGCGGGGCUAGAGUACGGUCGGGGGUAGAAGGAAUUCCUGGUGUAGCGGUGAAAUGCGUAGAGAUCAGGAAGAACACCGGUGGCGAAAGCGUUCUGCUAGACCUGUACUGACACUGAGGGACGAAAGCUAGGGGAGCGAAUGGG